GAUGAACGCUGGCGGCGUGCCUAAUACAUGCAAGUCGAGCGAACAGACGAGGAGCUUGCUCCUCUGACGUUAGCGGCGGACGGGUGAGUAACACGUGGAUAACCUACCUAUAAGACUGGGAUAACUUCGGGAAACCGGAGCUAAUACCGGAUAACAUGUUGAACCGCAUGGUUCAACAGUGAAAGACGGUCUUGCUGUCACUUAUAGAUGGAUCCGCGCCGCAUUAGCUAGUUGGUAAGGUAACGGCUUACCAAGGCAACGAUGCGUAGCCGACCUGAGAGGGCGAUCGGCCACACUGGAACUGAGACACGGUCCAGACUCCUACGGGAGGCAGCAGUAGGGAAUCUUCCGCAAUGGGCGAAAGCCUGACGGAGCAACGCCGCGUGAGUGAUGAAGGUCUUCGGAUCGUAAAACUCUGUUAUUAGGGAAGAACAAAUGUGUAAGUAACUAUGCACGUCUUGACGGUACCUAAUCAGAAAGCCACGGCUAACUACGUG
rnacentral:rRNA from 1 species